rnacentral:rRNA from 1 species
AGAGUUUGAUCCUGGCUCAGAUUGAACGCUGGCGGCAUGCCUUACACAUGCAAGUCGAACGGCAGCACGGGUGCUUGCACCUGGUGGCGAGUGGCGAACGGGUGAGUAAUAUAUCGGAACGUACCUUAUCGUGGGGGAUAACGCAGCGAAAGCUGCGCUAAUACCGCAUACGCCCUGAGGGGGAAAGCGGGGGACCGUAAGGCCUCGCGCGAUUAGAGCGGCCGAUAUCUGAUUAGCUUGUUGGUGGGGUAAAAGCCCACCAAGGCGACGAUCAGUAGCUGGUCUGAGAGGACAAUCAGCCACACUGGGACUGAGACACGGCCCAGACUCCUACGGGAGGCAGCAGUGGGGAAUUUUGGACAAUGGGGGCAACCCUGAUCCAGCAAUGCCGCGUGAGUGAAGAAGGCCUUCGGGUUGUAAAGCUCUUUUGUCAGGGAAGAAACAGCAGCUCUAACACAGUCUGCGAAUGACGGUACCUGAAGAAUAAGCACCGGCUAACUACGUGCCAGCAGCCGCGGUAAUACGUAGGGUGCAAGCGUUAAUCGGAAUUACUGGGCGUAAAGCGUGCGCAGGCGGUUAUACAAGACAGGCGUGAAAUCCCCGGG